rnacentral:rRNA from 1 species
GACGAACGCUGGCGGCGUGCUUAACACAUGCAAGUCGAACGGAAAGGCCCUGCUUGCAGGGUCCUCGAGUGGCGAACGGGUGAGUAACACGUGGGUGAUCUGCCCUGCACUUCGGGAUAAGCUUGGGAAACUGGGUCUAAUACCGGAUAGGAGCCAUCUUUAGUGUGGUGGUUGGAAAGUUUUUUCGGUGUAGGAUGAGCUCGCGGCCUAUCAGCUUGUUGGUGGGGUAAUGGCCUACCAAGGCGGCGACGGGUAGCCGGCCUGAGAGGGUGUACGGACACAUUGGGACUGAGAUACGGCCCAGACUCCUACGGGAGGCAGCAGUGGGGAAUAUUGCACAAUGGGCGCAAGCCUGAUGCAGCGACGCCGCGUGGGGGAUGAAGACCUUCGGGUUGUAAGCUCCUUUCGCUAGGGACGAAGCUUUUUUGUGACGGUACCUAGAUAAGAAGCACCGGCUAACUACGUG